rnacentral:tRNA from 1 species
CAUUAGAUAACUAAUUUUAAGUAUUGGUCUUUUAAACCUUUAAUAGUAAUAAUUUACUUCUAAUGA